UAAGGGAAAUUGAGUCAGCCAUUAAGAAGGAUAGUAACACACAGCUGCAGAUUCCCCAACAUGUGACACACAUAUUUUCAUAGUAGUAGACCAUUGACAUAUGGAUGUGGGGAACGUUUACAGAAAAGUUCACGGUCCAGCCAGAAAGAAGAGGAAGGCUGCAAUUUAAGAGAUGGAGUACAGCUUUGUGAAUACGGCCCAAAGCAUUGGAAUCUGUUGAGCGCCUCAGAAUACUGAAUUUCGAAUGCCUAUUAAAGAAUUCCUUUGGGACUCCUGCCGGUGGAAUGGACGUGCCUGGUGGGAUGGUCUGCGG